rnacentral:sRNA from 15 species
CAACUCUUUAAUAAAUAAUGAAAAAUAUGUGCAAAUGAGAAUAACAACUGCGGUUUUCUCUUAAAGUAGUAAGAAAAAGCUACGACACAAUACAGCUAUCCAUCAAAAGUGAACCCCACCCGU